AGCAGCCGCGGUAAUUCCAGCUCCAAUAGCGUAUAUUAAAGUUGUUGCAGUUAAAAAGCUCGUAGUUGAAUUUCGGGACCAAUAUGUCGGUCGUGCCUCGGUACGUACUGGUGUCAUUGGUUUCUCCCUUCUGAGGAUCCUUGAUGUCAUUAAUUUGGUGUCUUGGGGAAUCAGGACUGUUACCUUGAAAAAAAUUAGAGUGUUUAAAGCAGGCAUACGCUUGAAUACAUUAGCAUGGAAUAAUGAAAUAGGACGUUUGAUUCUAUUUUGUUGGUUUCUAGGAUCGACGUAAUGAUUAAUAGGGAUAGUUGGGGGCAUUAGUAUUCAAUUGUCAGAGGUGAAAUUCUUGGAUUUAUUGAAGACUAACUACUGCGAAAGCAUUUGCCAAGGAUGUUUUCAUUAAUCAAGAACGAAAGUUAGGGGAUCGAAGACGAUCAGAUACCGUCGUAG
rnacentral:rRNA from 1 species